rnacentral:rRNA from 1 species
GCCCCUAGCAAUACACAAGUAUUAGGGGUAAUGCCUGCCCAGUGACAUUGUUUAAACGGCCGCGGUAUACUAACCGUGCAAAGGUAGCGUAAUCACUUGUCUUCCAAAUAAAGACUAGAAUGAAUGGCCAAACGAGGUUCUACCUGUCUCUUACAGAUAAUCAGUGAAAUUGGUCUCCUCGUGCAAAAGCGAGGAUAACCUUAUAAGACGAGAAGACCCUGCGGAACUUUAAAUAAAAAUCAACCAACUAUCAUUACACACCUAACCAAGGGUUUAUAUCCAACUAGUACAUUGAUCUAUAUUUUCGGUUGGGGCGACCUCGGAGUAGAACAAAACCUCCGAAAAAAGAACACUUAUCUUUAAACCUAGACUUACAACUCAAAGUGCUAACAGUAAAAAGAUCCAAUAUAUUUGAUCAACGGACCAAGCUACCCCAGGGAUAACAGCGCAAUCCCAUCCAAGAGCCCCUAUCGACGAUGGGGUUUACGACCUCGAUGUUGGAUCAGGACAUCCUGAUGGUGAAACCGCUAUUAAGGGUUCGUUUGUUCAACGAUUAACAGUCCUACGUGA